GGGGGGUGGUGAAUGGGGGAUGGUGGCAAUGGGGUCAGUGAUAAUAGGGAUGGUGACAAUGGGGGUGGUGACAACAGGGACAGUGACAAUGGGGUGGUGACAAUGGGGUGGCGACAAUGGGGUGGUGACAGUGGGACGUGGUGACAGACGUGACAAUGGAGGAUGGUGACAAUGGGUGACAAUGGGGUGGUGACAAUGGGGUGGUGACAGAGGUGACAAUGGGGGGUGGUGACAAUGGGGAUGGGGACAAUGGGGACGGCGACAAUGGGGGGGUUGGUGACAAUGGGGGGUGGUGACAGUGGGAUGUAGUGACAGAGGUGACAAUGGGGUGGUGACAAUGGGGUGGUGACAACGGGGGGGUGACAACAGGGGGGUGGUGACAGUGGGAUGUGGUGACAGAUGUGACAAUGGGGAUGGCGACAAUGGGAUGGCGACAAUGGGUGACAAUGGAGAUGGGGACAAUGGGGACAGUGACAAUGGGGGGUGGUGACAGUGGGAUGUGGUGACAGAGGUGACAAUGGGGGGAUGGUGAUUAUGGGUGACAAUGGGGAUGGGGACAAUGGGGUGGUGACAAUGGGGGGGUGACAACGGGGGGGUGACAACGGGGGGGUGGUGACAGUGGGACAUGGUGACAGAUGUGACAAUGGGGAUGGCGACCAUGGGUGGCAAUGGGGACGGGGACAAUGGGAUGGCGACCAUGGGGUGGUAUCAAUGGGGACGGGGACAAUGGGGACAGCGACAAUGGGGGGGUGGCGACAAUGGGGGGGUGGCGACAAUGGGGGGUGGUGACAGUGGGACGUGGUGACAGAGGUGACAAUGGGGGAUGGUGAUUAUGGGUGACAAUGGGGAUGGUGACAACGGGGGGGUGACAACGGGGGGGUGGUGACAGUGGGAUGUGGUGACAGAUGUGAUAAUGGGGAGUGGUGACAAUGGGUGACAAUGGGGAUGGUGACAAUGGGGUGGUGACAAUGGGGUGGUGACAACGGGGAUGGGGACAACGGGGGGGUGACAACGGGGGGGUGACAACGGGGGGGUGGUGACAGUGGGACAUGGUGACAGAGGUGACAAUGGGGAUGGUGACAAUGGGAUGGCGACCAUGGGUGACAAUGGGGACGGGGACAAUGGGGACAGCGACAAUGGGGGGUGGUGACAGUGGGAUGUGGUGACAGAGGUGACAAUGGGGGGGAUGGUGAUUAUGGGUGACAGUGGGGAUGGUGACAAUGGGGUGGUGACAAUGGGGUGGUGACAACGGGGGGGUGACAAUAGGGGGGUGGUGACAGUGGGAUGUGGUGACAGAGGUGACAAUGGGGAUGGCGACCACGGGUGACAAUGGGGAUGGUGACAAUGGGGUGGUGACAAUGGGGUUGGUGACAGUGGGGACAGCGACAAUGGGGAUGGUGACAAUGGGAUAGCGACAACGAGGUGGUGACAAUGGGGAUGGGGACAAUGGGGACGGCGACAAUGGGGGGGUUGGUGACAAUGGGGGGUGGUGACAGUGGGAUGUAGUGACAGAGGUGACAAUGGGGUGGUGACAAUGGGGUGGUGACAACGGGGGGGUGACAACAGGGGGGUGGUGACAGUGGGAUGUGGUGACAGAGGUGACAAUGGGGUGGUGACAAUGGGGGGGUGGCAACAGUGGGAUGUGGUGACAGAGGUGACAAUGGGGGGGAUGGUG
rnacentral:lncRNA from 1 species